CAGUCGCCACGGUAAUACGCAGGGUGCAAGCGUUAAUCGGAAUUACUGGGCGUAAAGCGUGCGCAGGCGGUUAUAUAAGUCAGAUGUGAAAUCCCCGGGCUCAACCUGGGAACUGCAUUUGAGACUGUAUGGCUAGAGUGUGUCAGAGGGGGGUAGAAUUCCACGUGUAGCAGUGGAAUGCGUAGAUAUGUGGAGGAAUACCGAUGGCGAAGGCAGCCCCCUGGGCCAAUACUGACGCUCAUGCACGAAAGCGUGGGGAGCAAACAGGAUUAGAUACCCCAGUAGUCCCUGUCUCUUAUAC
rnacentral:rRNA from 1 species